UAAAGUCCUUCUUUGUAUUUACGGAAAAAAUAUCUGUGUUCUGAUUCAAUAAGUGCAGUGGAUUGAAAAUGGAUGGUGUGAGUGGGAUUGUCUUUGAUAUGUUGUGCUACUGCUGAAGCGAUUUUUUGCUCGGUGACAUGCUUGUUUUUGUUUCUGGUGGUCAUUUGAGAAAUGUUGGUAUACGUUAUGUUUACCUUGUCUGUUUCUGAUUUGUGUUCUUUUAUUCUAUCUAAAAGUGGUCUACAUGUUUCACCUAUAUAUAGUUUGUUACAAGAGCAAGGAAUUUUAUAUAUACCUAUCUGAGGGGUUGGUGCUGCCUGUUUGUGUGUACAUAUCAUAUUUCCUACCUUUUUACCUGGAAUAUAACCGAAAGUGCAAGAGAGAGUGCGUCUAAGAAAGUGUGAAAGUUUUGUUGUGAGGGGGCCAGAAUAUGGUAGUAUGAUACGUGCGCCUGUCUCUAAUGUUUUAGGUUCAUUUGUCUGAAACUUUUUAAUGCGUUUAUUUAUGAGAUGCAAAGGGUAGCCAUUUUGCAUGAGUUGUGAUUUUAUUAAUUGUAAUUCUUGGCUUAGGAAUUCUGGACUGCAAAUGGUAAAUGCCCUAUAUAAAAGUGAAUCAAUUACCGAAAUUUUGUGAGAUUGGUGGUGGUAAGAUGUGUAAUGCAAAUAUCUACCUGUGUGUGUACUUUUUCUGUAAACUUUGUGUUUUGUAGUACCAUCUGUGUAUCUAAUUAUGGUUAUGUCUAAAAAAUGUAAUUGAUUGUUAGUUUCUUCUUCUAACGUGAAUUGUAUCUCUGGAUGGAAAUUAUUGAACUGAUUUAAAAUGUUUGUUGUUUCGUUUUUUGUGAUGCAAGUGAAAGUAUCGUCAACGAACCUACGAUGAAAAUGUAUGAGUGGGUUAUUAUUCACUAGUGUGAGUUCUAAAUAUUGCAUGAAAAAUUCAGCAAAAACUGGUGAAAUUGGGGAACCCAUUGGUGUGCCUGUGGUUUGUUGGUAAUAUGUGCCCUUGUACUGGAAAUAAUUGGAGGAAAUGCAAAGUGUUUCGGCUGCGGCUCCGAAUUGGUUGGGACGUAGAAUGGUUCUAGUUUGGCAGGAACAGUCUCAAUGUGUCUCACUUUUUCUGGAACUACCUAUUUGUGACGGAGGAGGACAUUUCCAGUCCAAUCCUCUACCCACUUCGACUAAACUUCUCCUUUUGCUUUCUCCGGAUCCGGAAAUGCUGUGCACGAAUCAAAACUUGGCUAUUU